rnacentral:rRNA from 1 species
GUGCCAGCCGCCGCGGUAAUACGGAGGGGGCUAGCGUUGUUCGGAAUUACUGGGCGUAAAGCGCGCGUAGGCGGUUUGCCAAGUCAGAGGUGAAAGCCCGGGGCUUAACCUCGGAAUUGCCUUUGAGACUGGCAGGCUUGAGUACGGGAGAGGUAAGUGGAAUUCCGAGUGUAGAGGUGAAAUUCGUAGAUAUUCGGAAGAACACCAGUGGCGAAGGCGGCUUACUGGACCGUUACUGACGCUGAGGCGCGAAAGCGUGGGGAGCAAACAGGAUUAGAUACCCUGGUAGUCCACGCCGUAAACGAUGGGUGCUAGAUGUUGGGGGCCUUUGGCUUCCGGUGUCGCAGCUAACGCGUUAAGCACCCCGCCUGGGGAGUACGGCCGCAAGGUUAAAACUCAAAGGAAUUGACGGGG